rnacentral:rRNA from 1 species
AAGGUUACACUGUCUCCUUUUUCUAAUCAGUAAAACUAAUCUUCCCGUGAAGAAGCGGGGAUCCUUAUAUAAGACGAGAAGACCCUAUGGAGCUUUAAACGAAAUAACAUCUACCAACUCACCUAAUAAUUUCAGAAAAUUAACACUAAACUUGGUAUAAUGGUUACUAGUUUUAGGUUGGGGUGACCGCGGAGCAAAAACCAACCUCCGCAUUGAAUGGACUUACAAUCCUUAACAAAAAGCCACAACUUUAUGUAUCAACACAUUGACAUCCAUUGACCCAUUAAUUUGAUCAACGAACCAAGUUACCCUAGGGAUAACAGCGCAAUCCAUUUCAAGAGCUCCUAUCGACAAAUGG